UUUACUGAGAGUUUGAUCCUGGCUCAGGAUGAACGCUGGCGGCGUGUCUUAGGCAUGCAAGUCGAACGAUCCCGCGCAAGCGGGAGAGUGGCAGACGGGUGCGUAACACAUUGGUAACCUACCUCUAUCUUGGCCAUAACUCGGAGAAAUCUGAGCUAAUAGCCAAUGUGCUCAUUUUACAUAUGUGAGAUGAGCAAAGGUUUAUUCCGGAUGGAGAGGGGCCUAUGGUCUAUCAGCUAGUUGGUGAGGUAAAAGCUCACCAAGGCGACGACGGAUAGCGGGUGUGAGAGCAUGACCCGCCUCACUGGGACUGAGACACUGCCCAGACUCCUACGGGAGGCUGCAGUCAAGAAUCUUCCUCAAUGGCCGAAAGGCUGAAGGAGCGACGCCGCGUGCAGGAAGACGCCCCUUGGGGUGUAAACUGCUUUUCUAAAGGAAAAAUCUUUGAUGGUACUUUAGGAAUAAGCCACUGCUAACUUCGUGCCAGCCCGAUCAAUUUUUGAUCGUUGGCUGAAUGGUGCGAAGUCUUUAUGGCAACAUAAAGUAAGAAAAUCUCGCUAUAUGGUCCGAAUCCCACAGAUGUGGGAAACCGGAUAACGAGGAGACCGUGAGGUUGAAUCGUUCUGGAACAUCUAUAGUCGACCGCUGAUAUGUGUCGUACAAAAAUGCGACCGCGGCUAUAGACAAUCAGCAGGAAACCUAGUUGAAAAACAGGGGUUCCUCAGAGACUACACGCGAGACUCCAUGAAAAAUGGAUGAUGAUAUAGUCCAAAUUCGUCUAAUGUAAAAAAUUGGACGGGCCAGCAGCAGCGGUAAUACGAAGGUGGCAAGCGUUAUCCGGAUUUAUUGGGCGUAAAGAGUUCAAAGGCGGUCUAGAAAGUCAAAAAUAAAAUCUUAAGGCUCAACCUUAAGUUGGUUUUUGAUACUUCAAGACUAGAGGGUAGGAAAGGCAAACGGAAUUGCCGGUGUAGUAGUAAAAUGCGUUAAUAUCGGCAAGAACACCAAAGGCGAAGGCAGUUUGCUGGAAUACUCCUGACGCUAUACGAACGAAAGCGUGGGUAGCGAAUGGGAUUAGAUACCCCAGUAGUCCACGCCGUAAACGAUGGAUACUAGAUAUUGGAAGUCUCGACCCUUUCAGUAUCGUUUACCUAAGCUAACGCGUUAAGUAUCCCGCCUGGGGAGUACGGCCGCAAGGCUAAAACUCAAAGGAAUUGACGGGAACCCGCACAAGCGGUGGAGCAUGUGGUUUAAUUCGACAGUAAGCGAGGAACCUUACCAGGGCUUGACAUCCUCGGAAUUCCGCCGAAAGGUGGAGGUGCCCGCAAGGGAACCGAGUGACAGGUGCUGCAUGGCUGUCGUCAGCUCGUGUCGUGAGAUGUACGGUUAAGUCCGGAAACGAGCGCAACCCCUGUAGUAUGUUAAAGUAUUCAUACUAGACUGCCCCCUUUAAGGGGGAGGAAGGAAGGGACGACGUCAAGUCAGCAUGGUCCUCUGACGCCCUGGGCGACACACGUGCUACAAUGGCUAGUAACAAUGGGUCCUGCGAAACGGUAACGUGGAGCUAAUCCCAUCAAACCUAGUCUCAGUUCGGAUUGAGGUCUGCAAUUCGACCUCAUGAAGUCGGAAUCGCUAGUAACCGCGCAUCAGCCAUGGUGCGGUGAAUACGUUCUCGGGUUUUGUACACACCGCCCGUCACGUCAAGAGAGUCGGUAAUACCCAAAGUCCCCUCACCUUUGCCUUUAUAUAAAAGCAUUUUAUCUGUGCAUUGCUAAGAUUAUUAACAAAGCACAAAAUAAAAUUUAUUAGCAAUAUAAAAAGCAAAGGUGAGGGGCCUAAGGUAGGAUCGAUGAUAGGGACGAAGUCGUAACAAGGCAUCCGUAGCGGAAGCUGUGGAUGGAUCACCUCCUUUCUA
rnacentral:rRNA from 1 species